UCCUGGUAAUACACAGUAAGCACUGGGGCUUUGCUGUAGGUGGAAUGAGGAGUCUGGGAGAGUUUUGAGGAGGCCUGACAGUUCCUGUCUUCAUUGUGAAGCCAUCACCUGGGCUGCACAUGGAGGACUGGCUAACCCAGGAAGCAAAGAGUGGAAACAGAGCAACUAUGAGGCCACUGCAGUGCCCAGGAUCCAAUCCUGGAUCACACGUUGCAUGUUAACUACAUCUCCAAUUUGAGACAAGGCCUCAGUCUUUCUUUGUCUUCCAUGACUGGACACUUCUGAACAGUAUUAGUCUCCAUGUGCUGUCCAGUUGUUCCAGCACCAUUUGGUGAAAGGAUUAUCUUCUCUCCAUUGUAUUUCUUUGCUCCCUGUCAAAGGAAAGCUGCAUACAAGGAUUGAAGAGCCAGGAGAGUGCCUCAGAAAGCCUGCCUAUGGCAAUGAUGCUUGUCUUGCAAUGCCAGAAUCAUUUCUAGAGCAUGCCACUUUCAUGGCAUACUGAUAAAGUCGUAGUGAAACCAAAUUAUUCCUAAUACAUUUUUUAGUAUUGAAGGUGGGGCUGACUUUGCUAACUGAUAUGAAGUCAGGAUGAUCACAUGAAUGUGGGUGUGCUAAGCCCAAAUGCUACCUAUGUGUGAAAGCACUUUUGAGUAUCUUAAUUCUUUUUAUGUUUUUGUCAAUUUGCUCCAAGUCCUGGUUUAUCUCUCAGCUUUCUGCAAACUUACAUUAUAUUCAGCU